CCUACGGGAGGCAGCAGUUGGGAAUUUUGCACAAUGGACGAAAGUCUGAUGCAGCAACGCCGCGUGCGGGAUGAAGAUUUUCGGAUUGUAAACCGCUUUUAUUUGGGAGUAACUGUUUGAACGUACCAAAUGAAUAAGCACCGGCUAACUCCGUGCCAGCAGCCGCGGUAAUACGGAGGGUGCAAACGUUGUCCGGAAUUACUGGGCGUAAAGCGCAUGUAGGUGGUCUAAUAAGUGAACGAUUAAAUACCGACGCUUAACGUCGGAAAGGUUAUUCAUACUGUUAGACUCGAGGAAGACAGGGGCAGAUGGAACUUUAAGUGUAGGAGUGAUAUCCGUAGAUAUUUAAAGGAACACCAAUGGCGAAGGCAGUCUGCUGGGUCUUUUCUGACACUGAGAUGCGAAAGUGUGGGGAGCAAACGGGAUUAGAUACCCCGGUAGUCCACACUGUAAACGAUGCUCACUAGGUCUUGGAGGGUAUCGACCCCCUUUUGGACCGAAGCUAACGCGUUAAGUGAGCCGCCUGGGAGUACGAACGCAGUUUAAACUUAAGGAAUUGACGG
rnacentral:rRNA from 1 species